GGUUGGCCCGUCAAUGGAUGAGACGAGGGAGGGCGUCUGCCUCGCCUCUUCGUCCUCCCAGUCACCCCCACCAUCCCCGCACUCGCCGCUGCCGCCACCCUUCAUCCCCCGUGGUCCGCCUCCUCCCCUCCCCUCCCAUCGCCCGAAUCACAUGCCCGCUGGUCGGGCCGCGGUGGACGGAUUCGAAGAUGGCCGGGCGGCGACCAUUCCCACGAGGCCCGGCGGCGAGCAGCGCGCGCCGAGGGGUGGAAGGGCGCUCUGGAUCCGGGCGCGAUGGCGGCCAUGGCCGAGCUCGAGCCCAGGCGUGUGGGUGCGUUGGUGAGCGCGGCGGUGGUCGGGGCCGAGCUCUGAGCACGGCAGCGGCCAUGGCCCCGUCCUCCCGCAUCCCAGCCCCGCUCGCCCCAGCCCUCUCCCCGACCUCUCCCUCCACCAGACCUCUCCGCCCUGCCCACUUCGCCGCCACCAACACCCCGUAGACCUCGCCGCCACCGACGCCCCUCAGACCUCGCUGGCGUGGACCUCUCUCCUCGUCUCCCUCGCACCACGCCGCCCGCAGCCUCCCCCUCUCGUCAUCAGAAGGGAAGGGAAGGGAAGGGAAGAGGGAGAGUGAGCAGGGCAGGCGGCGGCCAAGGUGCUCACAGAUUCGCCGGCGAUGUCGUCCGACCUUGGCCUCCGAGUGCUUGUGCUCUGCCUGCUCCCGGCCCAUGCAAUGGCCUGCUCGGGAUGCCACCCUCCCCCUACUCCAACCCUAAUCCCCUCCCCUUCCCUCACGAUGUUGCUUCUUUUGGUCAUGCAGGUGCACGCACGCGUCCCUGCUCCUCUGGUGGACAAGGUCGGUUCCGAUCUGGAUGAGCAGCAACUGCUGCAGGUGGACGAGGCACGAUCCCUCAUGGCUCGUCCCUCCUCCUACUCCCCCUGAACGUGGAAACAAAUCGAGUGCUGGAGUGAAUCAUCUAAUUCAGGGACGAAACACAAAUCAGAUUGUGCUUAUGUCGCUACCUCCUACGUCUACAGCAGUACAAUUUCAGGUUUGCUCUCGGUUCUGUUGGCAAGGGAUCUUUGGUCAUGUAUCAAUUGUAGAAUGGCAAUAGUUGAGCAUCAAGGGACAACCGAAAUUACUAUGAUGAUAUUCCAGAGAUCCCGGGCCAUGCGGGGAGAUCAAAGGCUGGCAGUGCAUGCAACAGGGCAUGUUAAUCAGGCAAAUUAUCGUUCAAAGACUGGGUCUAUGAUGCUUGGCGCGAAGGUCCUAUUUCUCUCAUUCCUCCCUUCCAACCCUCAACUUUCUGGAUCAUGGAAGUAAGCUGUGCACAGUCACAUUUUUUUGGGUAUAUAUACUAGAAGUUAUUAUGGCUCACUUACAUUUAUAUCACGUCGACAUAGCGGAUCAGCUGGUUAGAAUUCUGUAUAUUUUCUUCACCUCGUGAGAGGCACAUCUUUCAACCAAGAAUGUCAUCAGCGACUAUCCUGAGGACAUGGCACCUUCUUCUUUCAGCUGCAAUAUUUAUUUGGAUCUCUGUUGUGUAGUGCCAUAUUUUCUACUUAUACUCUGCAGGCACAAUGUUACAGAUUUAUUUCCAAUCUCAGUAUGCCAUCUAUCCGAAUUUUGUAUAGCUUGCAUAGUGCCUAAUAUCAUGAGCUAAUGCUAAUAUUGUUUAUAGAGCUUUCAUA